rnacentral:tRNA from 1 species
GGGCGCAUAGCGCAGUGGUAGCGCGUCCGCUUUGCAAGCGGAAGGCCCCGGGUUCAAUCCCCGGUGUAUCCA